CUGCUCCAACUAUGGCUCAGUGCGGCUCAGGCUCUUCACAGGAGCGCAUCGUAUCAGCUACAGAGACGCUAGUUGGAGCUCCAGCAGAAACCAUCACUGCACUGGAGCACAAGCAGGAACCAGCUUCUUGUAUUGCUUAUUGGAUAUAAUCACAAUGAUCGAUCUGCUUGAUUUUGCCAAAGCAGCAAUCACUUUACUCAAGGAUUCUUUGGACGCAUAAAGAGGAUUAAAUGCUGCGGUUACAGCACUGACACACGUGGAGGACUUAUUAUUAUUGUUGUUAUUUUUAUUAUUAUGUAUGGUUAAACGUUAUGAUGGCAACAGCUGAUGGAUUCAACACUCCAGCUGUGAAUCGUCCUGUAGGAUAUGAGGAAAUACUGUCUCUUACACUGGAUAUGUGGUGUCCAUUUCUCCUGCUGCCCAAGUCCUUCUGCUGGACAAGCCGUUUGUUGGACAGACGAGUCUCUUGGGAUAGUUCACGCGUGUGGCCAGUGUCAUAGAUGGCCACUACAAUGAAAUGAUUUCUGAAAUCGAUAUUUCUUGCGGUGGAUAUUGGCACAAGGAAAGGAAUAUCAUGGAAUAUAUUUUGAAAGCGAUGCUCAGCAGAUGUCCAGCUGUUUGGAUAAUGACAGAACGCAUCUCUUCAUCCAGCAGUGAAGGAAUCCAAAUUCUUGGAAUGAGAUGUCAACCUUUAAUUGCUUCCCAGGGAUCCUUUGAUGAUCUCAGGUGAGCACCCAGAAGAGGCUGAGUAAUGGAAACAUGAUCUCAAGAGAUUCAACAGGAUCAUUUUAAAUCCUGGUUUGGACAGUGGACCAGCAUCCCCUGCAGCAGAUGUUUGCUCCUGGCAUGGCUGCGAACAGCGAGAGCUCCAUCACUGACAGUCUCGCUCUCAGGAUCCAGCGCCAGCAGCUUGGACUUGGAGAAGCUGUGACAUAAACUCUGCGGUGGAGUGUGUUCUGCUGCUCAGACAUUAUGGAGCAGAUCAGUGAACCCUGUCUGGAGAGGCACUCGAUCGGAAAGUCAACUCGUUGAAAGAACGUUUACCGUAGUUACCACAAUGGAUCUACACAUUGUUUGACUUUUUCUAAAUUGAACCUGGAUUAAUAUUUUCCCGUAUAUACAUCUGCUUUCGAUAUUCAGUGUUUAUUCACGCUGUUGCUCAUACACUGCAGUUGUGACAUAUACUGUGUUAUUCUGGAUACAGUAUCAACAAGCGCUGGAACUGUAAAUGGAAAAUAAUCAAAUGUUAUUUUCAUUUUUUAGGUUGGAUUUUACCGACUGUAGGCAGCGCUUACUACCAGUGCAGUCGCAUACAAAACGUAUCUUGUGAAGACCACAAGGAGUAUGCACAGCAUUGUGUAAAAUGAAUUAGUGCAGAUAUGAUCAAGAUUCCUCACUGGAAAUGUAACUUCAAUGAAUCAUUUAACAACUUCUAAUUGCGAUCACAAAGAAGCCAUUGUAAUCAAGGUGCUUACGAAUGCAAACCAAAAACCUCCUCUGGUGAAACAACAUUUCAUACUGACACAUUGGCAUCCUUUGUUGUUAUUGGUUAAUAAUCCUGUCAAGCUAUUUAUUCUGAUGAUGAUUUAUAACUCCAUAACGUUUGUUGUGUCUGUAAAAUAAAGAAAGUGAAUCCAAGCCUCUGUCAGUUUUGUCAUAACUGAUUUGA
ensembl:lncRNA